rnacentral:lncRNA from 1 species
CAGAAACAUGCAUAAUAAUCUCAUAAGAGAACAUCCAGAGUAUAAAAGACAAGUUGAAACUCAGGGACAUUUUACCUAAGCAAUUAAUUUCCAGAUGGAGUUGCCUUGAUCAGUCAUGUAACCACUGGGUAAGAGUUCUAAACUAUCAGAAAGAGUUCUAAACUAUCAGAAUCAAAACAGACAAUACGAUAGAACAUACUUGGAAGCUACCUGGCCAAUAGGUUCACUCAUGUCUUUCUGAUAAUUCCCCUGGUCCCACCUCACUCCCUUUCUCUGUCUCUUACCACAGCUAAGCAGAAAUUCAACCAAGUAACUGACCACAUGUACUGUGUGUUGAUCUAUAAGAAAAACUGGAGAGAGAACUUGAAUCAUGGCAUUUGUGCGUAUGAAAUUCGAUCACAUACUGGCACUCAUCUAAGACUGAUCCCACUUAAUGCACCCAAACGGGACCUACCUAAUUAAUUCAGGAGAUGUGUUACUGCUCAGAAGAGUCAAUCAGCAGCAUGCUAUGGCUACAAUGACUGAGGACUACUGGAGAGUCCAGGAUUGAUUAAGUGUCUGGCUGAGAGACCAAGAGGACCAGACACAUGGGAAGUGCUGUUUCUCGAAGCUCUGCCUUCAGGCAGACAAGGAAAGACCUGGUCAUUCAAAGAUGUAUAAAAGCCCUCCCUUGCCCAUUUUAAUGCACAAGCCUGAUGCUUACAUGCAACUUUUAACUGACCAUCCCUUGGUCCUAAGCACAAAGUUCUCUGUAAGAGCAGCUCUAUAAGGACAUAGUGGGAAAUGUCAGCUCCCUGGGACGAGCAUCGGUAUUCCGUGAGAACACCAGGUCUGUUAAAGGUUACCCACCUACCUGGUGUGACUGGCUGGAGAAAUAAGUUAGGGAGAAUCUAGAUGUGGUUGAAUUGUCAUUGCUGCUCAAAAUUUGUUUCUUUGUGAUAACAACAACAACAACAAAACAACAACAACAACAACGGGUGAAAUUAUCUUGAAAUACAAAAGAAUGUUUGUUGGUCCUGAGAGUGAAAAAAGGAAUCCUUAACAGCUUCAGCUUGCACCAAGAGGAUUUUUUUUUAUCAGCUUCCCUUCAUAAGAGAGGAUGGAGGAUUUUGGAAGAGACAGAACCUGGGAGAAAUUCAGUGAGCUGCCACUUACUGUUAACUACUCCACAGAAGAACUGUAUGUUUAUUGGAAUUCAGUAAAUGUGGCAUGUAAGGAUUUAGUCAAUGUCUGGCAAAAUGCUGCCACUUAGGACCCGUUUGGCUAAUACUAGAAGUAGUCAUCAAGUUAACUAUAACUGCCCAACAUUUUCUUAGAAGCCAAAGAACUUAAACUUUUAUAGAAGAAUGCCCAGUCAGUACUAUAUUAAUGUGUGUAUUACAUUUAUUGACUGUUGAACAGACCCUGAUUCCCAAGAGUCUUUAAGGCCAUAAUAAAUGCAAAAAUUGUAACUAAAUUCCCUUUGUACUCUUCAGUCUUUCUUGUAACCUCAAUGAAACUGAAAGUACUAUUUUAAAAGUACAAUGACUACGACAAAAUUCCAUUUAAAAAUCUUUAAAGUGUUGGGUUCUGAGGCUUUUGAACUUGAAUAUUUACACUGACCCCAAUAAAUUCUCCUCUAACCAAGUUCUCAUGUCAGCCAAGGGGGAUUGUGCUGGAUAGUAAGGAUGUCUACAAGUAAAUCCACUUGCAAAACUAUAAAAGGAGCUUCAACAGUCAGGGGCAUUUAAUGGCCUGGAAGAUCUAGAAAGAUCCAAGGAGGGUAGGGAGUAAUAUUCAUCCACCAGAGCCACCUCACCCACAUUCCAGAGUUGCUGAAAUUAUUACACACAUGUAAACAUAAGGACAAGACAAAGUUUUUUCAAGAAAUUAGAAAGGAAUGGCCGGGCACCGUGGUGCCUCACGCCUAUAAUCCCAUCACUUUGGGAGGCCGAGGCAGGCAGAUCACAAGGUCAGGAGAUCGAGACCAUCCUGGCUAACACGGUGAAACCCUGUGUCUACUAAAAAUACAAAAAAUUAGCUGGGCGUGGUGGCGGGUGCCUGUAGUCCCCAGCUACUCAGGAGGCUGAGGCAGGAGAAUGGUGUGAACGUGGGAGGCAGAGCUGGCAGUGAACCAAGAUCGCACCACUGCACUCUAGCCUGGGCGACAGAGCGAGAGACUG